rnacentral:lncRNA from 1 species
UUUUUUUUCUCGCUGUGUAAGUUUUAACGGUUGCCCUGUUUUAAGGUAUGCUUUAUCAAACGAUGGGGUUUUCAAAUAACAAACGAAAAAACCUGGUUGAAUUAGCAGCUUUGCGUGGGUGUACAACCACACCAGAUUCAAAUCCCACUUUUCCCGGUUCAAAACCUGAUUUUUGUGAAACGAGAAGCUGAUGUUGGGUGGCCCGGAAUGAUGAGUAUACGGGUUCAUGAAAUUGUACUUUGAUGGAAUGGAAUGUAUGAUCAUCCUGUUCUACCUAUGGCAGGAGAAACAUGGCAGCUUUUAGAAAUACAGUGCCAUUAAGCAUUUCUAUCUUUUGAAAGAAGUUUUGACAAGCUGUAUUACUAAAUUUUUUGAGAGAAAUUUGAUAAUGGUUAAAUACAUAGUU